UAAAGUGAUGGCGACCGGCGCACGGGUGAGUAACACGUAUCCAACCUGCCGAUAACUCGGGGAUAGCCUUUCGAAAGAAAGAUUAAUACCCGAUGGUAUAAUAAAGCCGCAUGGUUUAAUUAUUAAAGAAUUUCGGUUAUCGAUGGGGAUGCGUUCCAUUAGGCAGUUGGUGAGGUAACGGCUCACCAAACCUUCGAUGGAUAGGGGUUCUGAGAGGAAGGUCCCCCACAUUGGAACUGAGACACGGUCCAA
rnacentral:rRNA from 1 species